CGACCGAACACCACACCGGAGUGGCGAUGCGAUGGUAUGUUUGAAUUUCGUUACGCCGCGUUUCAGUGUGAAAAUUUCUCUUUGUCCCACAGCGCUGCUUUCGCCGCCGCCACCGUUGAAAACGGGAGUACGGGAUUGCACGACUGUCGUAUAGCUGAUGCGUUUGUCGUCGCUACUACGAUUUUAGUAGUAGUCUAGUGUUUUCAAACAUACUCCGGCUCGAAACUAACGACCGUAUUAUUAUCAUCAUCAUACACAAUUACUAUGAUGUUAUAUUAAAUUGUAACAUUAUUAUUAUUAUUAUUAUUAUUAUUAUUAUUGUAUUAAUUAUUACACAUUAUUAUUAUGAUAUUAUUAUUGGAGUGUUGUUAAUUGUUAUUAUUUCCAAACGUACGUACGUACCUACCUAUAUCAAAUAUUAUAUCGUUCAAAUUUUUUUUUUUAUUUUUCGCGUACAAUUUCCG